rnacentral:rRNA from 1 species
AUUGAACGCUGGCGGAGUGCUUUACACAUGCAAAUCGAACGGCAGCACGGACUUCGGUCUGGUGGCGAGUGGCGAACGGGUGAGUAAUGUAUCGGAACGUGCCCAGUCGUGGGGGAUCACGUAGUGAAAAUUACGCUAAUACCGCAUACGAUCUGUGGAUGAAAGCGCGGGAUCGCAAGACCUCGCGCGAUUGGAGCGGCCGAUAUCAGAUUAGGUAGUUGGUGGGGUAAAGGCCCACCAAGCCAACGAUCUGUAGCUGGUCUGAGAGGACGACCAGCCACACUGGAACUGAGACACGGUCCAGACUCCUACGGGAGGCAGCAGUGGGGAAUUUUGGACAAUGGGCGAAAGCCUGAUCCAGCCAUUCCGCGUGCAGGAUGAAGGCCCUCGGGUUGUAAACUGCUUUUGUACAGAACGAAAAGGUUUCUACUAAUACUAGGAGCUCAUGACGGUACUGUAAGAAUAAGCACCGGCUAACUACGUGCCAGCAGCCGCGGUAA